CUUCCGGAGGUUUUCUGUAAUUAACACCGCCCUCGCUCCCUGAGGCCAAUUACUGUAAUUUAGGUAUUCCCCGCAAUGGUGUGCUGAUUUCUGUUGACACCACUCUGCCUGUUUUUCUCAACUCUAUUUUAAAGCUACGGAGAGAUCCGGAGUCCACGCCAGGCGACAAGAACGCGCCCUAAUGGAACGAGAGCCGUCUUUCUCCCCUGCUGCUCUGAGAGAUGUCAAUCUUGUCUCAGCCUCACCAGCAAUUUCCAUCUUGAAUAAGCCAAGUCUCCCAGCCUGAGAGAAUACUUGAAUCAUUGGCACUCUGUUCUUUGCUACCAAAUGGCUUGGAAAAAUAGCACGAACGUCACCAGUCUCUGGCCUUCAGGAAAGUCCCCGCUGACCACCAGAGCGGUGGGAAGGCGUCUAACUUCCUCCAGGCUCAGCGUGUGAGUGAACACCGCCCUGACCUCCUGGGCGCGUCUUGCUGCUCUCAACAGCAGCCCUCAGGAUUCUGGAGCCUGGGUCCCACAUUCCGGAUACCAUUUGUUGAAUGGCUGGAUGGGGAAAUUACAACAGCACCCUCAUUUCCAGUCGUGGGAAUGGGCGGGUUACCAGGAGGUUUGACACUCUUUAAGGGGGAUUAACAACUGAUGCAAGAAGUAGGGAAUCGUGUUUGAGUGCACAGACUAACAUAAACACACUUACCUUCAAUUUCUAGCUCUGCCACUGUCACUCUGUGACUUUAUUACCUCUGCAAUAGGACUAAAGCCAUCUAAUUUAUUGGAUUGUGAGGACUAAAGAUAAUAUAUGUAGGCACUUAGCACAGUGUCUGGCACAUAGUUCGCCUUCAAUAAACAGUAGUAACCAGUAA